rnacentral:rRNA from 1 species
UGGCUAACUCCUACGGGAGGCAGCAGUAGGGAAUCUUCCGCAAUGGACGAAAGUCUGACGGAGCAACGCCGCGUGAGUGAUGAAGGCUUUCGGGUCGUAAAACUCUGUUGUUAGGGAAGAACAAGUGCUAGUUGAAUAAGCUGGCACCUUGACGGUACCUAACCAGAAAGCCACGGCUAACUACGUGCCAGCAGCCGCGGUAAUACGUAGGUGGCAAGCGUUAUCCGGAAUUAUUGGGCGUAAAGCGCGCGCCGGUGGUUUCUUAAGUCUGAUGUGAAAGCCCACGGCUCAACCGUGGAGGGUCAUUGGAAACUGGGAGAAUUGAGUGCAGAAGAGGAAAGUGGAAUUCCAUGUGUAGCGGUGAAUUGCGUAGAGAUAUGGAGGAACACCAGUGGCGAAGGCGACUUUCUGGUCUGUAACUGACACUGAGGCGCGAAAGCGUGGGGAGCAAACAGGAUUUGAUACCCCUGUAGUACAGCUGG